rnacentral:rRNA from 1 species
AUGUCUGUUCGCCUUCUUAUCUCACUAGCUGCCCAUGAGGGGUGGGCCAUCCACCACAUGGAUGUGAAAUCUGCAUUCCUGAAUGGAGUGUUGGAGGAGGAGGUCUAUGUGUCACAGAUGCCUGGGUUCAUCGUCACCGGGCAGGAUAGCAAGGUUCUGCGCCUGAAGGUGUUAUAUGACUGCGUCAAGCCCCACAUGCAUGGAAUGCGUGCCUCGGCGCCACACUGA